rnacentral:rRNA from 1 species
UAGUUCGGGAUAGCCACUGGAAACGGUGAUUAAUACCGGAUACUCCUUCUCGUUAUAAGACGAGUCGGGAAAGUUUUUCGCUAAGGGAUCAGUCUAUGUUCCAUCAGCUUGUUGGUGAGGUAAUGGCUCACCAGGGCUAUGACGGAUAUCUGGUUUGAGAGGAUGAUCAGACACACUGGAACUGAGACACGGUCCAGACUCCUACGGGAGGCAGCAGUGAGGAAUAUUGCACAAUGGAGGAAACUCUGAUGCAGCAGCGCCGCGUGGAGGAUGACGCAUUUCGGUGUGUAAACUCCUUUUAUUAGGGAAGAUAAUGACGGUACCUAAUGAAUAAGCACCGGCUAACUCCGUGCCAGCAGCCGCGGUAAUACGGAGGGUACAAGCGUUACUCGGAAUCACUGGGCGUAAAGGGUGCGUAGGCUGGCUUUUAAGUCAGAUGUGAAAUCCAAUGGCUCAACCAUUGAACUGCAUUUGAAACUGAAAGCCUAGAGUUCAGAAGGGGCAGAUGGAAUUAGUGGUGUAGGGGUAAAAUCCGUAGAUAUCACUAGGAAUAUCAAAAGCGAAGGCGAUCUGCUGGGAUGAUACUGAC